rnacentral:lncRNA from 1 species
UAAAGCCCAUGAGGUAUUAAAGUAAACAUCCACAGCUCUCGAAAUCCUGCAGAAAAGAUGAUUUUGAAUCAGCAAAUAGGUCUUGUCCGACCAAUUCUUGGAAACUACUAAUAUUAGCGAUAUUUUGGAGAUCCAAAACCUUAGCUUGUGCAUGGUCCAAACUUCACUGAGCACUCAAGUAUAAAUAAGUUUUACAACUCCCUAACGGAAAACUUAAUGACUUCAACUUAAAUUGCAUACUAACCUAGAAUUUGGGCUACUUAGUAAUUAAAACCUUGUGUGCUUUUGAAAUUCUUAUCAGUUAUUUACUUGAAAUUAGACUUUCAUUUCAUAAACCAAAUUUUAUUUUGGGAUUGAAGUUUGUGGG